UCCUUGGUGGUCUAGCGGCUAAGGUGCCCAUGCUCUCACCGCUGCGGCCUGGGAUCAAUUCCCAGGAAGGGAA